rnacentral:rRNA from 1 species
AUGGCGACGGCGACGGCCGUGCUGCUCGUCGUGCUCCUCGUGGCCGGCGCCUCCGCGGGCGCGUCAAAGCCCCCGCCGCCGCCGUGUAGUCGGUCGUGCGCGACCCUCAACUGCGACUCGGUGGGGAUCCGGUACGGCAAGUUCUGCGGCGUGGGGUGGAGCGGGUGCGAGGGGGAGGACCCCUGCGACGACCUCGACGCCUGCUGCCGCGACCAUGACAGCUGCGUCGACAAGAAAGGUCUGAUGAGUAUCAAAUGCCACGAGAAGUUCAAGAAUUGCAUGAGGAGAGUGAAGAAGACUGGGAAGGCCGGCUUCUCCAAGAAAUGCCCAUAUGAAUUGGCUAUGGCGACGAUGACUCAGGGGAUGGACAUGGCGAUCAUGCUCAGCCAGUUGGGCAGCCAGAAGUUGGAACUGUAG